UGUAUCCUUUGGUUCUGAAAAAUCAUCUUUUUGUUCAUGUAGCUGACACACUGCUCAAGGUUUCCAUCCUUCUAUUGUACCGUUCCAUCACCAAUUCUUUGUAAACCGGUCCUUCCUUUAGUUUCCCUUUCUCUCUAUUUUGUGUUUCCUCUACCUAACCCUCCUUCAACUAUAUUUUGUUCUCUUCUUCUGCUCACGAUCUACCUCUAUUUUCAUCUGCAAACGAUCUCCCCUUCACCCAUGGCGAGACCUUAUGACAUGGUUGGAGACAAACGAAAGAAAGGAGCUAUGGAAGCUGACAGUGAAGAUUCAGCAUAAUUGGAAAGUUACAAUGACAAACAAUGAGCAUUUUGAGAUGGUCAUAGUUGACAAACAAGUGAGUUAUGUGUUUGUUUACACCAUUAUGUUUUUACCUCUUUUGUAUUUUUAUGGUUGUUUCAAUCAUGUUAAGAUCUGAUAGAAACUAUUUCUUGAAUCUGUACUACCAUUGUAUAUAUUUUUCCUGCUCUGUUGUAUGCUUAUGACUAUGGUUGCCAUGAAAGUGGUGGGAUAGCAUGAAUGUUUAACUGAAAAAGCUUACACCUUUACAAAGUUUUCUUUAGUUCUUGAAAUGUUUAGCUCAACCAAAAAAGAUGCUGCACUAACAAAAUUCUCAAAGGCUUCCCACUUACCACUAUCAGAAAUUAUUGUAUUGUCUGAAGUACGUCGCAAGCCCAAGAGCUUUAUAGUUGAAUGCCCAUACUACACACCCGGUAAAUAACAUUUUAGUAUGUCUAUCUUUUGCAUCCAACAAUGUGUGUUACCUUUGCUACAAUGGACAAGCUUAUUCCUGAUACAAAUGGAUGGUACUAUAAGGCUUGCCAUAAAUGUCCUCAAAUGGCUAAGGGAGACAACCCACCUUAUUUUUGCAAAGACGGACACAGGACUGAGGCUGAAAUCUGGAGGUUUCGUACGUGUUGAAGUAGUUCACGAUGAUUCAGCUGGAAGUUUGUUUUCUGAGACCGUGAGGCCGCUGAACUGUUAGAAACAUCUGCGGCAGCUCUUCGUUCGACCAUGGUUGAGAGUGGAAUCACUGAUCCACUGGACUAUCCCCUUGCACUGGACGCAUUAUUGGGGAUAAAGUUUGCUUUCAAGAUUAAUUUGAACCCUCGCUUUAAAAAUGGUUCUGUUGUCAUGUAUCUCCGGGACAAACAAAUUAUUGAUCAACUUGAAGGAAAAGAUGUUGCUAUUGGAUCUGAGGAGACAUUUCUCAACCUUGAGGCCACUACUCAAUCUGAAAUGGUAUAAAUUCUAUCCACCAAAUUGAUCAUCUAUUGUUUAUUUCCUAAAUAAAAUAUCAAGACUUUAUGAAGUAUGUUUCUGCAUAAAUUGGAGAGCAUUGGCGAGGAUGUUUCCUUGGAUAAUUUACAACCUCAAACGGAAGGGGAAAUCUCCUCGUCGCCUAUUCCCGAUCCGGUCACACCUUUGGAAAAUGUCAAGAGGAUGCCUUCCGAAGACGCGGUUGAAUCACCGAUGCAAACUCUCAGCGAAGGUGACCUAUCAUCAACAAAGGUCAACAAGGUGGCCAAGCGUGGAUAAAAAUCUGCAACUUAAACCAUGUUUUCCCUGUCAGCAACAUAACCAACGUUUUGUAUGCCAUUUUGGAUAAUUUUUUUGUCAGAAAGGCUAAACGUGCAACAAGUUCCAGCUGGGUUGUUUUGUGGAUGUACAAGGUUUAUAACCUUUAGAACAUUGGAGCUUAUUUCUCAUCAAUGACCUUGGUA